GCGUGGAGGAAGAAGGCUUUCGGGUCGUAAACUCCUGUCAGGUGGGAGGAAAAGGCGUCGGCAAAUAGUCGAUACCCUUGACAGUACCACCAGAGGAAGCCCCGGCUAACUCCGUGCCAGCAGCCGCGGUAAUACGGAGGGGGCGAGCGUUAUUCGGAAUCAUUGGGCGUAAAGGGCGCGUAGGCGGCCGCGCAAGUCAAAGGUGAAAUCCCUCGGCUCAACCGAGGAACUGCCUUUGAAACUGCACGGCUUGAGGCCGGGAGGGGGUAGCGGAAUUCCCAGUGUAGCGGUGAAAUGCGU
rnacentral:rRNA from 1 species